GGAAUAUUGGACAAUGGGCGAAAGCCUGAUCCAGCCAUGCCGCGUGUGUGAAGAAGGUCUUCGGAUUGUAAAGCACUUUAAGUUGGGAGGAAGGGCAUUAACCUAAUACGUUAGUGUUUUGACGUUACCGACAGAAUAAGCACCGGCUAACUCUGUGCCAGCAGCCGCGGUAAUACAGAGGGUGCAAGCGUUAAUCGGAAUUACUGGGCGUAAAGCGCGCGUAGGUGGUUUGUUAAGUUGGAUGUGAAAUCCCCGGGCUCAACCUGGGAACUGCAUUCAAAACUGACAAGCUAGAGUUUGGUAGAGGGUGGUGGAAUUUCCUGUGUAGCGGUGAAAUGCGUAGAUAUAGGAAGGAACACCAGUGGCGAAGGCGACCACCUGGACUGAUACUGACACUGAGAGACGAAAGCUAGGGGAGCGAAUGGGAUUAGAUACCCUUG
rnacentral:rRNA from 1 species